CUAGUAUCACGUUUAUUUUACUUUUAGUAUUGUGUUUAAUUUUUAAAGUAUUUUUUUUUUAAUCCAUUUUAACAGAACGUGUAUCAAAGCAAUAACUUAUUAAGCAUAGUUGUUUGAAAAAUAGCUUAGCCCUCCUUUAAAAUGAGAUAAAGACAGGGAAAUGUGUGUCUGCCCAGUUUGAGACCGAGAUGACGAUACAAAUACUAUUAUUUAUAAGGUGUUCGAUGUCAGCUUCUUCAUCACCGGUCUGACGUCCAUUCCAUACCAGUUAGAAGUUUUCAUCUAAUAUUUUAAAGACUUUUAAAUUAGUACAGUAUACGCAUUCAAAAAUAGCUAGCCUUAAAUGUAAGCCCAAGGAAUAACUUCUGGCACAAAGGACAUCUUAAGUCCCAAGGUUGGUGGCGCAUUUGUGUAAUGUAAGGAAUGGUUGUUAUUACUUACAGCGUCAAUGUCUAUGGGCGGUGGUGACCACUUACCAUCAGGUGGCCUAUUUGACCAUUCGCUUAUAUUAAAAAAAUAUAUGUAAUCGGCUAAUUCAUUACCGUGCGUAUUGUUAUUAAUUUAAUGUCAUUUGUCGUAAUAACUACUUAAGCCUAUUGAUUAUGUAACUGUUUAAUAUUUUGUAGUGUUAGGUAUUAUUAUGUAUUACCCUACGGUUAGUACUAUAAGGACUAGUACUUAGAACUAGACUAGUAGUAAUAAGUCAUGUAAUCGUCAUCUUCGGUAAUAUUUGGAAAAAAAUAUAAUAAUAUGUUUCGUA